ensembl:lincRNA
ACAGCUCACUGCAGCCCCGUUUGAGCCCAUCUCGGAAAGCCAGAGGGUCGGAAGGGUCUGCACUGGAAGCCUGAAGAAACAGGAGACAUCAAAGCAAUGUGAAGACCAGUGCUCCUCCAAAGAAGCAAAGGGGAAGACUUCCUUUUUCUUUUCCCUUUGAUUCCAUCCAGGUUACAAGCCUAUUGGUUGAUGCCACCACAUCCCGGGUUGGUCUUCCCUCCUGUUUGCUGUCUAUGUGUCAAUCAUCCACCAACACACCCAGGACUAUGCUCCGCUAAGCUGUUAAAGCCUUUGUUAAUCCUUUCAAACUGACUGAGCACAAUUAAUGAUCACACUAGGGUUCACCCUAGGUUAGGUUUCCUAUUCUCACUGAGCUUUAGAUCUCACUUGGAUCUCAGCUCCUGGGGUUACUCUGAUGUUCGUUCCUGCAUACUUCAAAACGGAACAAAGAGCGCCUUCAAGGACAUUUACGGCAGCUUCCCUGGAAAAGCCACACGCGACCCAGUCAACGUCCCGACGUCCUCGCCAGCUGGGAUGUCCUCAUGGCCUCCUCACUUGCAGGAUGAAGGUCGCUGCUUCUCCAGUGAUGUGCUCACUGGUAGCCAAUAUGUGAGUCCUGGAUCCCCCGAACAGAGCUGGGUGGAGGAAUCCUUGAAAACAUGGGGAACAGUUUCUUCUGUUCGGCGAGGUCUACAGAGGUAGUAUUUAUACUUCUGCCUUUACAAGAUGUAAAACCCCAACCAAACCCUUCUCAUGCUGUUUUCCAAAGCAAGGACUUAAAACAAUGAGCGUAAUAGAAAUAUCCCUGGAGCCGAGACAGUGUCCUCGGACUGGCUCCAUCCCAAGCCAGCUCUGUGCUGUCUUAGAUGAGCUGUUUUAUGUGUGACACACUCUAUCGGCGCUGCAUGCGGUAUCCAGUGCUUGAUCAUUAAUAUUCUAUGCUGCUGAACCCAUCAUUCAUUUGUUUGUUCGUAUACCUCCGGAUGUUUGAGGUUCUGGGCAGUGGGACUUGGAAGUGCCUUACCUUUGAAGAACUCAGUGUUGGGUGAGGGCUGUGCUCCACAGCAGGUCCCGUGAGACGAGCAGAGGCACGAUGCUAGCCGGUGGCUGCUUGCCAUGGGCCCGGGAGGAGUGUGACCUCACAGGGAUCUGAGCAUCCGGGCCUCAUUGAGAGAAACUUUAUUCAUUUUAUUUUAUUUUUUUAAAGGAAGUGCUGUUAAAUGAACAACAGUUAAUUAAGUUUAUCUAGGCAGGGAGGUGGGGAAAUGCAAUCACAGCACAGCACAUUCAGGAAUGUACCUGGGAUCAGUCAUCUGUGGCCACACAGGGUAAACAUGAACCUGGGUCAUGGCUGUAGCCCUGGAGAAGGGGAUGUGUCUCAUAUCUGCUGAAAUGAUCCUGAUGUGUUUAAAUUUCUCCUUUGUAUGUUCCUUCAUUCCAUUAAUGAAAUCCAGAGCUCAUCUCUCACAGGAUCGUGUGUAGACCCUUUGUCAUUACCCACAUCACGAAAAGGUGCAGUAAAUCAUUCACUGAGAUAGCUGUUACUCUACGGAGUGCAGUCCCAGGGCACGUGGUUGUCAUCAUUUUGCUGCCAUCUGUUGCCAUGGUCUAUUCAGAUGCUCCUGGUCCUCAGAAGGCAGGUCCCGGGGGCAGGGGAUGGCACCCCAAUAGGGGGAUUGGUAGGCCGUAUCUGAGUGAGCAAGCCAGUGACCUGGGUGGGCAUCACAGGGAUCUAGGGCACGGCCAAUAGAAAAGGCAGGGCUCAAGGACGGCAGCAUGCAUGGUGGCCCAGCGGUGUCUCUGCCUAAUCACUCAAGUGUGGGCAGGAACAGGAGACAGCAUAAGACCCUCAGCUAGCUGGACUGCUGCUGGGCUCCCAGCUCUAGGCAUGAUUGGCUGAGGGAUGGGGCAGGGAAGGACAUUAGUUAGAUCAGCUUGAAGAUCUGAGAGAAAGGAAAGAAAUGAGAAGACUCAUGGCUUUGAAAUCAGUGUGCUUCCUCCAGAAACUCUGAAGACUGCACCACGUAAAAAAAUCUUUUAGUUCUUGUGCGAAGCUCUACCCUUUCCCGCGUGUCGCAGGAGCAAAUAGCAAAAAUGGUACUGAUGAAGAAAAUGCACACAGCUAAAAGGUAAACAAUAGGAGAGUCUAUUCAUUAGGAAUGCACAUGGAAAGAAGAAAAAGAAAAAAUGUGAUGGAAAAACCGUUAGUGAGAUUCAGA